rnacentral:rRNA from 1 species
UAAUGUUGGGAGGAUACCGGUGGCGAAGGCGGCCUCCUGGCUCGAUACUGACGCUGAGGUGCGAAAGCGGGGGUAGCAAACAGGAUUAGAUACCCUGGUAGUCCACGCCGUAAACGAUGUCUACUAGCCGUUGGGAGACUUGAUUUCUUAGUGGCGCAGCUAACGCACUAAGUAGACCGCCUGGGGAGUACGGCCGCAAGGUUAAAACUCAAAUGAAUUGACGGGGGCCCGCACAAGCGGUGGAGCAUGUGGUUUAAUUCGAUGCAACGCGAAGAACCUUACCAGGUCUUGACAUCCUGAAAACUUUCUAGAGAUAGAUUGGUGCCUUCGGGAAUUCAGUGACAGGUGCUGCAUGGCUGUCGUCAGCUCGUGUCGUGAGAUGUUGGGUUAAGUCCCGUAACGAGCGCAACCCUUGUCCUUAGUUGCCAGCACAUAAUGGUGGGAACUCUAAGGAGACUGCCGGUGACAAACCGGAGGAAGGUGGGGACGACGUCAAGUCAUCAUGGCCCUUACGGCCUGGGCUACACACGUGCUACAAUGGAACGCACAGAGGGUCGCAACCCCGCGAGGGUGAGCCAAUCCCACAAAACGUUUCGUAGUCCGGAUCGGAGUCUGCAACUCGACUCCGUGAAGUCGGAAUCGCUAGUAAUCGUGGAUCAGAAUGCCACGGUGAAUACGUUCCCGGGCCUUGUACACACCGCCCGUCACACCAUGGGAGUGGGUUGCUCCAGAAAUGGCUAGCUUAACCUUCGGGAGAGCGGUCACCACGGAGUGAUUCAUGACUGGGGUGAAGUCGUAACAAGGUAGCCCUAGGGGAACCUGGGGCUGGAUCACCUCCUUUC